rfam:Otolemur garnettii contig046654, whole genome shotgun sequence.
ACUGGGUGUGGUGGCAAGUGUGUGUUGUCCCAGCUACUGGGGAGACUGAAGUGGAAGGGUCACUUGAGCCUAGGACUCCUGGCUGUAGUGCACUGUGCUCAUUGGGUGUGUACAUCCAAAGUGGGCAUUGAUAUGGUGACCUCCUGGGAGCAGGGGCCCACCAGGUUGCAUAGGAGAGGGGUAAACCAGCCUGGAAAUAUUGCAGGUCAAAACUUCCAUGCAGAUGAGUAGUGGGAUUGCACCUGUAAAUAGCCACUCCCUAGCCUGGGCAACAUAGCAAGACUCCGUCUCUG